UCUGGAGAUCGAUCAAGAAGGGAAAGCAAGGGGGAAACCCUAAAUUCUGCAAAUUAGCAAAAUUGAAAGGGAAAUCAAGGCCAAAUCACAUGCAUGAACUCGAAACCUUAACUAUCUAAGCUAGUACAACAAGCGGCGUUAAGGAAGAAAGUUCGAGUCAAGUGAAGCAACAAGGGGAUCAAGACCGAGGUAAAUCUCAUGUCUAGCUAUCAAGCUUUGCCCGGUUCGAACACGCCUCAAGCCCGUCAAGCGUUCCGCAUUUUGUAAAAGUCAAUGUUUAAUACUUUGUCACUUAUGUCUACGUCUAGUAGUUAAACCUAGUUUCUAUUAUGUCUGUCUUUUGGAAAACUUGUAGUAAGUACGUAUAUAAACUUAAUGGUUUUGUAAGUAAAAACAUGGUAUGUUUUGACGUGUAUGUUGUGUCUUUUUAA